ensembl:lncRNA LINC01312 long intergenic non-protein coding RNA 1312
GUACAUGAAAACAGCGGCCCACCCAAAGUUUGUCUUUUCCUAGGAAGUUAUAGAGAAAUGAGGAGGUAACAGAAGAGCAGUCAAUAAAAGAAAAAUUUCUUUAAAAGACAUAUGGGUGGGAUGAGAACGAAUGAUUCUUACUUUAUCUGUAGAAAUUGAAUUUUGCUGCAACUAAGAGAGACCUCGAAAAUAGUGAUUUACACAAAUAAAAUUUUGUUCCAUCAAGAAAACUGAUAUUCAGCAGUCCAGGCUGAUGCAGUGGCUUCAAGAGCUCUUCAGCAACCCAGGCACCUUCCAGGUCUUCUUUCCCAAUUCUAGUGCUAGUAACUCCUUCAUCUCAUCACCCAACAUGGCUACCAGAGCUCCAGACAUCACGUGUACAUCUGAGUUCCAGGAAACCAGACAGAGGGAGAAAAGAAGGGCAUGCACGCUCACUUUAAAGAAGACUUCUAAGAAGAACCACCUAAAAUUCCCCAACCUAGUCCCAAAGCUCACUUGGCUGCUUUCAAGCCUGGAAAAUGCAGUCUUUAAGCUGAAAAAUGCUAUGACAAAAUCAGAGAUUGAUCAUGCCUACAAUGACAACUGGAAAACAGAAAUGAAACCAUAUAAGCCAAGCACUCACGCAAUCUUUGUCCUCCCAGUUGACUUAAGAACACUUGUGAAGAAAAUGUGGCGUCUUUAGAUCUCAGGAACUGUUGGUGUCCCUACUUUCCAGAUGGAGAAGUUGAAGCCCGGAGAACUCAACUUGAAAGUACAACCUGCUGGCCUAAACAAGAUGCUGUGCCUUGUAUUUCAACCCAAAGAAUAAGAUGGAGAUGGAGACGAAUGAGAGGCAUGCAAAUCAUAAAAGUCCACAGAAUCUUGUACAUUACUUGAUACAUGGAAUGUACUAAUAAAUAUUUGCUAAAUGAAAAA